rnacentral:lncRNA from 1 species
ACUUUUGACUAAUACAAUUGUACAAUAAACUAUAAAUACAAGUUUGAUCGAACUAAUCAUGCUCUCAAUGUACACUCACUUCAUUCUUUAACCUACUAGCUAACAACUUAGUAAUGAUUCUUCAUUGUCAUUGGCCUACUGCCUUAUAAGCCCCAUAGAUCUCUAAUCUGAUAUCUUGCUUAUUGUGAUGGCUCAUCAAUUGUGGCAAUGGUAUAUGCUCAUUAAGUGGCCAUGACAUGAGAAUCAUAGAGGUUCUGUGUGGAUCCAAUUAAUCACUAAAAGUUGAAAUGGAAAGAGGUUUGAACAAACCGGCAUAAAAAUGGUGAACAUGAAAAACUAGCCAAUUACUGGGUGUAAAGAUAUUGACUUGCCAAUCGAAGCCUCCAAGUCAAAAGAAUGCAAUUGUUUGAAAUUUCAAUUUUAUGAACCUGCUAGAAGCUAGCUAAUCAAAGCAGUCAGGUUGUUCCAGCCAAUACUCAAUCUGACUCACCAUGACAACAAAAAGGAGAAUGGUGGGAUUUAUGAGUAUAUUAGGAGGAGGGUAAGAAAUGAACACCAAGAGAGGU